rnacentral:rRNA from 1 species
UACGUAGGGUGCGAGCGUUAAUCGGAAUUACUGGGCGUAAAGCGUGCGCAGGCGGUUCGUUGUGUCGGUGGUGAAAUCCCCGGGCUUAACCUGGGAAUGGCCAUGGAAACUGGCGAACUGGAGUGUGGCAGAGGGGGGUGGAAUUCCGCGUGUAGCAGUGAAAUGCGUAGAGAUGCGGAGGAACGCCGAUGGCGAAGGCAGCCCCCUGGGCUAACACUGACGCUCAGGCACGAAAGCGUGGGGAGCAAACAGG